CACACCACCACGCCAUACGUUUCGUUAGCGGAAGUGUAAUGGUCCCAUUGGUGGGAUGCGUGGCCAAUAAAGGGCAAGAAUAAGGCGGUUUCCUCCUUUCUCCUGGUUGACUACAUUCAUCCGCUGGACAUCAGUAUGAUGAAGAGAAUGAUCAUGAAUGGCAAAUGGCAGGUGCAGUGAAGCAAGAAAAGCUGGCUUCAGGCUCAGAAGAGAAUGCUGUGCCUCUUCCUCAUGGUUUCCGGUACCCUGCAUGUUCAGAGAAACUUCUCUAGUAAUGAAUGAACUGUAGAAAUGAUCCCUGAAAAUAUGGUCUUGACACUUUA